rnacentral:rRNA from 1 species
UAGGGAAUCUUCGGCAAUGGGGGGAACCCUGACCGAGCAACGCCGCGUGAGUGAAGAAGGUUUUCGGAUCGUAAAGCUCUGUUGUUAAGGAAGAACGAGUGUGAGAAUGGAAAGUUCAUACUGUGACGGUACUUAACCAGAAAGGGACGGCUAACUACGUGCCAGCAGCCGCGGUAAUACGUAGGUCCCGAGCGUUGUCCGGAUUUAUUGGGCGUAAAGCGAGCGCAGGCGGUUAGAUAAGUCUGAAGUUAAAGGCAGGGGCUCAACCAUUGUAGGCUUUGGAAACUGUUUAACUUGAGUGCAGAAGGGGAGGGUGGAAUUCCAUGUGUGGCGGUGAAAUGCGUAGAUAUAUGGAGGAACACCGGUGGCGAAGGCGGCUCUCUGGUCUGUAACUGACGCUGAGGCUCGAAAGCGUGGGGGGCGAACAGG